AUUUUUGAAAGUGUAUUUUUAGUGUUGGUAAAGAUGAAUAAUGAUACAUUCAAAGUGGUAUUUAUACCACUAUUCAACUAUACUACCAAUCAAAUUACAUUUGCAUAAAUACCAUAUUUAUUACUAUCAAAAGACUAAACUAACCUUACUUAUUUUCAACCCAUUAUCGCCUUUUCUUUCUUUGUCGAGAUCCAUACUCUCUCUCAGUCGGAUCCAUCGCCUGUCUCUCUCUCCGAGAUCCAUCGUGUCUCUUUCCGUCGGAUCCAUCGUCUCUCUCUCCGAUCGUCUCUCUCCGUCGAGAACAAUCGUCAAAACCUCUGGCAUCAAAUCAUCUUUGAUAUUUUAAAAACCAGACAGCUGCUCCCCCUGGUGGAUUUAAGUUUGGCUAAAAAAGGUAUAGAACAAAUUGAAAUCCUGAGUUUGUGGAACCUGAGAUUCAUUGUUAUUGACAUUGCCAGGUUCAAGUUUGGACUUUUGAGAACUGGUGCAAAAAAGGCUUUUCUGUUUCCCUUGCUUUCUUUUGAUGUUGUCUUCAUUCGUUUGAAUCAUUCUCUGAGUCUGUAUUUUAAUAUCUUAAAACGUUUGGAUAAAUCUUGUCUAGUGUGGUGACUGGUUUAGAAUAUGAUCACCCUUUGUAUUUGUCACUUCUAUCUUUGUUGUUCUUGAACUUUUACUAGAGUGCAAAUACAAGAAACGUUAUUUGAUUGCAAUUUGCAAGGGUCCUCAAACGAAUUGGUUAAGAAAAGCUUUAAUCUCAUCAAUAUAAGGAGACUUGGUAGGAAUGAUGUGGCCAGAUUCGUGCUCUAUUAUGGUGGAGCAUCCUUCAUCAAACAGCCCCGCCAAAGCUGAGCUGGCUUCAGUCACAAUCUGUCUGUCUUUUCCAGGCUGGCUUCCGAAAAUGUGAAGUGAAGGGCACUUGAUCGACCCUUGCUCUGUCUUCUCCAUCAAAGGCCAAGGUGUGAAACCUGAGCACAACACGCAGAAUCUGAAGGCUAUUUCACCCAAGAGCUGCUCUUGUUUCCCGCAUACAGCUGCAGCCAUUGCUGCUCCUUGACAAUAUGCAGAAACUUAAACUCUAUUUUCUGCUUGUUUUGUGCAGAGCAAGGUAAAGAUCUAGAAGAGUUUUUCCAAUCAACCGCAGGGAAGUUCCAGGCAGAUGUAGGCAAAGCUUGGGCGAUUGCUUCAAGAAGAAGAAAGCAAAAAUAGUUGUAGUUAGUUCUCACGUGAGCUAAAUACUCUGUUCCCUUCAACUUUUAAUAAUUUCAAGAUAUUUUAAUGUGGAUAUACAACUUAAGGGUAUCUAUGUAGGCCACAUUCUUUGAGGUAGUAGAAGUCUGCGAAUUCUAUUUGA